AUAAACAUUAUUUUGAGUUUGUUUAAUAAAAUAUAGGAUACAAUAUAACUAAGCAAAAUCAAACAGUUUUAGACAACCAAUACAAGAUUUAGAACUUGACAUCGUGAUAAACAAAUUGUACAUUCAGGAACUCGUUUAAAUAUUAUAGGUUGAUUGACGAAUACUCUACAGUUGAUUAGAGCCCAUGAUGAU